GUUGCAACUCUUCUAAAUGUAGAGUAUUGUUGUACAUGUAGUUAUUUCUCAUGGGGUGUCUUUCCUGAAUGGAAAUUUCAUCUUGUAUCUUCCAGAUGUAAAAAAGUGAAGUUCUUAACAAAAAACGUUUUGUGCUUUUUGUUUUGUAGUAGGCAUCCUCACUUGAUGUGAUGAAAUCUGCAGCAAGGAAGUUCAUUGAUUUUGUGAACAAUGGUCCCUCGCCUUACCAUGUUGUCAAUGAGUGUAGAAAGGUGUUAUCAGCAGCAGGAUUUAAACAGCUCAAGGAAAAAGAGCACUGGGAUAUCAAGCCUUUGUAUAAGACCUUGGCGGUCCCCAGCUAGCAAUGCACUCCAUCCGAGAAAUGUGCUGCUCCUCUAUUGUACAUCAAGAGACACUGCUAUUCAAGGGUUCCUUUGAGACACUUCCAACAGUACUGGAUUCCGUAGUUGGAGCUGACUAAAGUCAAGCCACCGGCAUUCCUGAGCUUCUUUUGCAUGAAUCCUCUCCCCAAACUCCGUUUAAAUGAUUUUUGCUUGAAAAGCAAUGUAGGUUCAACUCAGCGAAGCAAACAAGAUACUUAGUCAAAAGAAAAGGAACAUAAUCCCAGCACAAUCAAUGUAAAAAUUGUGUAACAAGGGAAGGGGUUGAAGAGGGGAGCACGUAAACAAGAGAUAGUAUUCAAACAGUGUAUCCUGAAAACUUUCUCAUUUAUCCAUUGUCCAUUAUAAUCAGGCAGGACGUAUACUGGCAUAAAACGGUGGUUCCUGGAACUGUGUGCCUUGUUUUGUAUUUACGGUCUAAAAACAAGGAUGACGAAAAGCAUGUGACAAGCAAAUAGAAAUUAGCACGCUCGGCGCAAUAAACGUUUGCACUACUCUUCUGA